GACGUCCGAUGAUUCUAUAGAAGCGAAUAUUUAUUAGCGAGCGCGAUUAUUGUUGUAAUUGUGAAUUGUAACAGUGCAGUGUGUUUCCUUGUUUAUUUUUCGCUACGCUUGUUGAUAAUGUUAGAGUUCGAAUAUUGAUACUUUCUUAAUAUUUCUAUAACUAUAAUUUUGCCGGUGACCGUGUGUUGUGUAAAAGUGCGUUAAAAGUUUACGGAUUUCUUUGAACCCUAAUUUCCGGAGUGUGAGUGAAACAAGUGAAGUGAGCAGGAAGCGGCAGGACGUUGGAGAAAUCAGAGGAACUUCAUCCUUCGCAGAUAGGCAGCAUCAACGGUCAAAGCUCAUUUCCGGGAUCAAUUUGUGGGCAAUAGCUUGCUGGAGUUGGCUCGACGCGUCGAAUGGAAAAUAUAUACUAAGGCCGAUUUUGGUAAGAAUACGUUUCUGAUCAACGUUAAUUUUAAUGUAAGG